rnacentral:lncRNA from 1 species
CGACAUCAACUACUAAGCAUGAUAUGAAACUACUAGAAUACUGAUAAACCAACAUCUCAUUCCCAACAACAAUCUCAUUCUUGGCUAACCGGCCAAGCAAUAUACCAUCUCGACCACCUCGUGGUCCAUAUGAUCACCUCGUGAUCAAAACAUCCACAUGAUCACCUCGUGAUCAACAUAUCCACACGGUCACCUCGUGACCACAUCACAAACUGAAUGAUCAUCCUCAAGAUCAUCUCAACAUCAUCAUCUACAUCCUGCCAAACUAUUACUG